rnacentral:rRNA from 1 species
GACGAACGCUGGCGGCGUGCCUAAUACAUGCAAGUCGAACGCUGAAGGAGGAGCUUGCUCUUCUGGAUGAGUUGCGAACGGGUGAGUAACGCGUAGGUAACCUGCCUGGUAGCGGGGGAUAACUAUUGGAAACGAUAGCUAAUACCGCAUAACAGUAGAUGUUGCAUGACAUUUACUUAAAAGGUGCAAUUGCAUCACUACCAGAUGGACCUGCGUUGUAUUAGCUAGUUGGUGGGGUAACGGCUCACCAAGGCGACGAUACAUAGCCGACCUGAGAGGGGGAUCGGCCACACUGGGACUGAGACACGGCCCAGACUCCUACGGGAGGCAGCAGUAGGGAAUCUUCGGCAAUGGACGGAAGUCUGACCGAGCAACGCCGCGUGAGUGAAGAAGGUUUUCGGAUCGUAAAGCCCUGUUGUAAGAGAAGAACGAGUGUGAGAGUGGAAAGUUCACACUGUGACGGUAUCUUACCAGAAAGGGACGGCUAACUACGUG